rnacentral:rRNA from 1 species
UACGGGGGGGGGCAAGCGUUGUUCGGAAUUACUGGGCGUAAAGGGCUCGUAGGUGGCCAACUAAGUCAGACGUGAAAUCCCUCGGCUUAACCGGGGGAACUGCGUCUGAUACUGGAUGGCUUGAGUUUGGGAGAGGGACGCAGAAUUCCAGGUGUAGCGGUGAAAUGCGUAGAUAUUGGGAGGAACACCAGUGGCGAAGGCGGCUCACUGGACCGGAACUGACGCUGAGGCGCGAAAGCGUGGGGAGCAAACAGG